CUCAUUAUCCGGGCUUUUCCAACCACCACCAUGCGCCCUGGCUCCUCCCACCAGCCCCGCCCCUCUCAGCUCUGCCCUCUCUGGCUCACCUAGCUCCGAAACGCGCCUCCCCCCUCCGCAGCCACAGGCGCUGCCAUCCCCAUUUCACAGAUGAGAAUGGCGAGGCUGGGAUAGAUUAGUCUUAUGGCUUGUACCAGGCGGGGUAGGAAGACUGGAUUUUGCAGUGGAAGCAGCAUCUCUUCCAUCUGGGACCCGGCGGAGGGCGUCUCCACCUUGGGGGGGAGCAGAGCACCCGCCCUGACCUAGCCGGGCUCAGCCUCGUCCAGCCCGGCCUGAGCGCCCCGCCCAGCAGCCGGCUCGGAGGCAGGGCCCACUGGGGUCUGGGAGCGCGGGCGCCAUGGACAAGAUCCUGGAGGCGGUGGUGACGUCGUCGUACCCGGUCAGCGUGAAGCAGGGGCUGGUGAGGCGCGUGCUGGAGGCGGCGCGGCAGCCGCUGGAGCGUGAGCAGUGCCUGGCGCUGCUGGCGCUGGGCGCGCGCCUCUACGUGGGCGGCGCGGAGGAGCUGCCGCGCCGCGUGGGCUGCCAGCUGCUGCACGUGGCCGGCCGCCACCACCCCGACGUCUUCGCCGAGUUCUUCAGCGCGCGCCGCGUGCUGCGCCUGCUGCAGGGUGGCGCCGGUCCCCCGGGCCCCCGCGCGCUCGCCUGCGUGCAGCUGGGCCUGCAGCUGCUGCCCGAGGGGCCCGCGGCCGACGAGGUGUUUGCGCUGCUGCGGCGUGAGGUGCUGCGCACAGUGUGUGAGCGCCCGGGGCCCGCGGCCUGCGCGCAGGUGGCACGGCUGCUGGCGCGCCACCAGCGCUGUGUGCCCGACGGCCCGCACCGCCUGCUCUUCUGCCAGCAGCUGGUGCGUUGCCUCGGCCGCUUCCGCUGCCCAGCCGAAGGCGAGGAGGGCGCCGUGGAGUUCCUGGAGCAGGCCCAGCAGGUGAGCGGGCUCCUGGCUCAGCUGUGGCGAGCCCAGCCCGCUGCUAUCCUGCCCUGUCUCAAAGAGCUGUUCGCAGUCAUCUCCUGCACAGAGGAGGAGCCGCCAUCUAGCGCCCUGGCCAGCGUAGUCCAGCACCUCCCAUUGGAGCUCAUGGACGGCGUUGUCCGGAACCUCAGCAAUGAUGACAGUGUAACAGACUCGCAGAUGCUCACCGCCAUCAGCAGGAUGAUUGACUGGGUGUCCUGGCCCCUGGGGAAGAACAUUGACAAGUGGAUCAUUGCACUGCUGAAGGGCCUGGCUGCUGUUAAGAAGUUCAGCAUCUUGAUCGAGGUUUCGCUCACCAAAAUUGAGAAGGUUUUCUCUAAGCUGCUAUACCCCAUCGUCCGGGGAGCUGCCUUGUCUGUGCUCAAGUACAUGCUCCUGACCUUCCAGCACUCUCACGAGGCCUUCCACCUGGUAAGGGCUCCUGCCUGCUGCCCCUGGGCUCUUGAGGGAGGUCACAUGGCUGAGGCCAAACAGCUGGGAGGUGGGUUCCAGCCUCGCUUUGGCUGUGGGGAGAGAAGUAGUUAUCCUAUUUGGGAGAUGAAGAAACUCAGGCAGGAU
ensembl:lincRNA